CUGGAAGGGGAGGAGACCCUGCUCCGCCACCAGCUCCUUCCCGACAGGGGGUGCCCCGCGCUGUCACCUUGCUGUCCCUCCCGCCCAGCUCCCCUCUCCCAAGCUCACUGGCAGCCUGGACUCAGCCAAAGUGUUAGGCUUAACUUGGUUUACUUUGAAAAAUCUCAAUAUAAGUGAUGUGGGACCAGGGAAGGGCGCUGGGAAUCGCCUCCACCACACCCGGGGACCUGACGUCGCUCACUCGUGCAAGAAAGCAGUGACACACGACAGACAGCCAGACUAGCACCAGCAAGGUGGAAAGUUCCCGGAGAGGAGAGCCGGAGGACUUGGCCUCACAGCUGCUUGCACCAAUGUUGGAGAAAGAAUACACUGAGCUUAAAACUUAAAAGGAAAUUAGUCUUGUAGGGAAGGCCAGCAUCGCUUUAUAUGCGUUUCUCCGUCUGGAAGUGCACAGGAUGCCAGUUUUGGUAUUAGGUAUUUGGUAUUAGACUAGGAUUAAUACAAGCAUGAUUUAGUUCUGGGCAGAUACAUCUCGAGAUUGGGAGCAAUCUGCGGCAGAAACAUUCUCAAAGAAUGGCCUUGUUUGAAACUCCCCAGUCUCACUUUUAUUUAUGACUACCAUGUUAACCAUACCAAUAAUGAUUCACUAUGUUUAGUCAACAUUUUCAUUCAUAAGAAAAAUUGAAAGUUAUCUAUGUCUUACUAUAAAACUCUGCUUCUUAAAUUAUCACCUAUAUUACAUUUUUAAAAGUUAUGGUCUUACCUGUGUUUAUUUCUGUGUGGAGAGCCCUAUUGAAUAUUAUCAGCCACAGAAUUUUGAAUCUUCCAAUUACGAGGUCACAUAAUGUACACAUUAUGUGCGGAAAGAGCCAUCUGAUCCAAUCAAGAAUUGAACCAAUGAGUGCUUAUAUCAAUCACUGUAAUCACUGCAGUUGUCCUAAUCAUUUUGUCAAUUGGUAGAUAAAUGGUCAAGCAUUAUGAUUAUAUAUAAGAUAAAAGGAACUGUAUUGCCAAACCAUCAAAAUGAUCCCAAUCAAAUCUCUUUAUGAAUGGCUUUAGUCUGCUCCCCGGAGAAAAUUCAACUGAAGUUGUUUGAAAUGUUCUUUUUUACACCUGCAAUAUUCUUCUCUACAUCGUGCCAAAAUUCACGUUUUUCCAAAUUCUCGCUUAAGGUUGACUAUGACAGCUACUUUGAUAUUUACCUCCUCCCAGUGAUUGUUCCUUUUCUUGGCAUCAGGUAUGAAACUCCUGAGUUUCAAAACUGGUGAUUAAAGCCCUUAAAUAGGGGGCUAAUAUACCAAGUAUAUGGAAGACUUGAUUUUUAUUGUGCAAAUAAUAAGCAAAGGGAACAGUCAUGUUUAAAAAUUAGGUGACUAAAAUGAUGAUACUUGGCAUUAAUUGCUUUAAUUAUCUGGCUUGCUUUUGCAGACUUCUUGAUCCAUAUUGACAUUAACUUUUUCUAACACAUUAAACUUUGCAUGUCCACACCGGAUCCCUGUCCAUCCUCAAGGUCAUUUCAUGUGUCACUUGUUGUGAACCAAAAUUUGUUUUGGAAGUUGAAAAGAAUCAGUGGGACUGCUCUUGAGCCAUUUCAAAUUCUCAUAGCUCUCAUUAAAGAGAAAGAUCACAUUAUAGAUUUGUGUAUGUAUAGCUUUUCUUUCAUAUUAAUAAAGAGCAUCUUCUAAGACUUAAUACCUAACAAAGUAUUAAUCACAUACUAUUUACUGAAAAUAUGUUGAAAAAUUGCAAACUAAUAAAUAACUUGAUUCUUCUUUUAAAUUAUUAGACUAUUACAUUGCACAGUAGCCCCCAGUUAAUCACAACUCCUUGUAUUUAUAUACUUUUGCAGGCCCUCCCACAUGGCUCAUGGGUCUGGCCAUAUGAAUUGCAUAAACCCUAGGAUGUGUGAUACAACCAGAAGUUGGAUACGCACAUGUACAUGGGAACUUGUUCUUUUGGCACACCUCCUUUAGAGAUACAAGUACCUUGCUUUAUGAAAAUCUAGAUUAUUCCCCUGGGGCCACAUGGAAGAGAACAGAGGUAUUCUGCCCAGUCACCAGUUGAAUGCAAAGGUACAAGCAAUCCAGUCAAACUAUAUGGAGGAGAGUAAUUGCAUAGUGAACUUCAGCAUCAUGGCAAUGGAUCAUUAAAUUUUGGGUAGUGUCAUGGUUUGGGUAGUGCCAGGCCUCAUGUGCAUUGUGCAUUUGUGAUUGGUUCAUUGUCUAGAGCUUGGAUUGAUGGUGUCAGUGCCACACAGGCCUAAGGGUGAAGCCAGGAUGUAAUGUAAUGGCAGGAAGAAGGCGUGUCUCUCUCUCUUGCAGGUUUCUGCCUUGCUGUUUGCAACCUCCAUGAACUGCUGCCCGCCAUGCCACCCUGCCUUGGAGCCAACUGAGUAUGGACUGAAACCUCCAAGAACUGUAAGAAAUAAACAUUUCCUUCCCCAACUUUGGGCAUCAGGUAUUUUGUCUCGGUGAUGAGUAAAAAGUAACUAAAACAGGUAGCCUGUUAGGUAAUGACUACUGAUGCAGCUUCCUCCAGUUUCAGUGAUUUGAGAUACAACUAGGGUGUGAGGGUGAAGGAAGGAGCCUGGAAAACUGCCUUGUAGAGCUUCACAGCAAGUACCUCAUUUAUGCCUUUUUAGAACUCAGUGGCACAGUUACUUCAGUGAUGCGACAGUCUUCUAGAGGCUGGCUUUCGAACUAAGAAUCUUUCAAGUCUGUGAAACAGAGUCCACAGACAGGCUCUGGAGUGUAUCCCAUGGUCCAAUCCUACUUCUGCCUGAAGUGACAAAACACAGUAAAUCAAUAUAAUUUCUUUCUAGUCUUUGGAACUUUUAGAAAUUAGGCAUCUAUGAAAUUGUUCAGGUUACUCAGAAACGAAUAAUUUAUGGAAACAUUGGGUUCUGACGCAAACCCAAUAUGUGAAAGUACCUGAUUACUUACAAGUUUUCACUCUAAGGAUAGUAGUCCUUGGCUGCUAAUUAAGUUCCUAUAUAUUUGAUUAGGUUCUCUGUAUUUGGAGCUGUUACAAAUGCGUGUGUGUGCGCGCGCACACACACACACACACACACACACACACACACACACCAGCAGCAGCAGUUAUUCUGAUUGCAAAUGGGAGUGGGGUUGAUAGUAGCUGUCUCAGCGUGGUAAAGAACAGAGUUUGUUAAACUUGAGAGUUUAAGUAAUGCUUUAUCUUUAAAAGUUGAAUUUUUGAAGAUCUUAGAUAUGCAAAAAAGGUUUAAUAUUGCCAUGAAACAACAUAUGCAAAUUAACAAACAAAGCCAGUAAGACCAACACUAACCACACUAAUCUAUAUAACAUUAUUUUGCCAACAUUUAUUGUGUCUAAAUUCAAGGGCAUGGUUUUGGUGAUUUGCGGUAUUCCUACACUACUGCAUGCUAGGUAAUUGCGCAAUGUGCUCACCAUUUUUGCUGUGCAAAGUUCUAUGGAAAGUCCCUUACACCACACUUCCUGACCUCCCAUGGACAAAUGCAUGACAUUCAGAUCUAUUUUCCUCCAAGAUAAAGUUAAGCUAGCUGGCCUCAACUGUAGACAGAAAUAAGGGAAUUAAAAUGAUUGAUGACCUAUUUAUUUUUAAGGUUAGUAUUGAAUUAAAAAUCCUAUUUGAGAAAGAUUAUUUAUCAGGUAAAUAGCACUUGACUGGCAGGCAAGAGUCCUGGAUUCCAAUCAUGUAUUUAACACAAAUCGUAAGGUAAUCUUAAAAGCACUCAGAUAUUUUAACCAUGGGAAAAGAACGAUAGGAGAAUUACAAAUAGAUUUUUGGUAGAAAUCAAUAAAGUAAGAGCUCUGUGUCAUGGAAUCACAGCAGUGUGGCAAAGAUGAGGAGGCGUUUUAUGACCGGAAGCUUCCCAGUACCUUUCCUAAGCGUGUAACUCCUAACUCUGCCUAUAAUUAAAGCCUCGCUUCAUGUCUCUUUAAUUUUCAUUGCCCUCAAAUUUUAUUUGAUUAACCUGUUUCUCCUAAGAAAUUAGGCAUGUAGGUUUUAUUUUUAUGUUUUCCUGAAAUCAUUACUAUUUAUGUCCAAAAUAUGUCCAUUGAUGAUGAAUUAAACAACUUUCCUAUUAUGGUUGUCACUUGUUUAUUAAGUUUCCAGGAAAUAAAAAUUCCUUCCAUCUCAGAAAUACAGCCUUGGCUAGAAAGGGUUAUGUUUCAAGUCCUAGGAAAAUAAAAAUUGGAAGCCCCAUGCAUUGUGUAGUUUCUGGAACGACUGUAAGGUUCUAAAGGCAGCAGAGUUAGAAAAUGAUUAUUAUAUUCUAGCAUCUCAGUUUCAUUACCCUUUGUUUAUUGGAAAGCUUUACCCACAGCAUCCGUGGCAAACUCAAAGAGAAGCAUCGCAGGGUCUUGACAAUGCUUUCCCUGCAUUUGGCGCAGGUAGUCAGGAAACACGAAUUUCCCUCUUCCAGCCAGGCGCUUCUUGGAACAGGCCCUGGAUCAUCUACAGGCGCAGCUGCUGCUGUACUUGAGGGGUCCCGGCACCCAGACACAUCUCUCCGAACAGCCAAAUGAGUAUCUUCCCAAUCACCACCACCUCAUUUUUUUUUCAGUCUGAAAUAUUAAAAUAAGCCUAAAGUGUCUUUAAAUUUUAAAAUUUUAAUUAUACCCUUUGGAAUCUGUGCUUUAGAAAAGUUAUUUUUCCUCUAAGUCAAUAUCUUGAACACAUCUACACAUACACAUACAUGUUUAUUAAAAUAUGCUUAGAAAAUACGCUUUACCCUAGCAUGAAGAUUAGUAGGAAAAAAAUGGGAAAAUCCAUAGUUCACUCUUUCAGUGUGUUUUGAAAAGAAAAAUAUUUUUUCAAAAUACAGCUAAUAAGUAACUGUCUGUGGAGGGACGCAUACACUUGUUUAUGACGCAAAUCUUAUCUCUCAGUGGUAAUCUAUGUGGCUGGGGAAAGCUGAAAAUGAUUUCCACCCUUAUGGCCUUAUAUUAUACUUUCUAAAGAUGGGUCUCAUAAUACUAUUCUAUACAAAAGUAAUAAAUACUAUCUUUAGGAGGUGGUGAUUAUAAUGAUGAUGUUCCCUUGCCAAAAAGUAACAAAGGUAUUUUAAAUUGCAUUUUUAUCAUGAUAAGGAGAUUUCAAAUAAUUUAGCUAAUUUUACCUAAUAGCUACUGAGAAUUAACAUUGUUAUUUAAUGCAAUCAGUAGUUGAAUAGACCAUAAAUCCAAGAACUAAACACUAGGGGAGAUGUAUAACAGAUAAUGCUCAGAGAUUUUUAAUUCUCCUGUAUGGAAAAGGGAGAACCCAAAGGAAAUUAAGUGCUCGUUUUCUCAAAUAAGUAGAUUAGAUUUUCUUAUUUCUUAAAAUUACCCUGUGAAGCAUGUAUUUUAUGACUCAUGGAUUUUUAUAAUUUUCCAGAUUUCAUAACUUCAAUUAUAAAUGCUUUCUACUUUGAGAAUUUUUCUAUUUAUAUUUUAGCUACUGUUUCUUUUCCCAAACACCAAAGUAAACUUAUUUAUCUUGUGCUCAGAUUAUUUGAAAAUAUAAAAGAUAUUUUAAAUGUUUGUAUAUUGUAAAAUCUGUAUUAAUUUGUUUACUCUAAUAAAGGCAUUGCAGCUGCAUUUGAAAAGUAUAUAAGCACAAUAAAAUGUCACUUAAUGUGCUCUAGCAUUUCUUCAAUAAACAGUGUGAAGGCAAAUUCCUAUGUAAUUUAACAGUUGCAAGUAGCAGCUCUCUGUGAUACCAGUUGAAAAUAGCUACUCUGAACCAUGAAGCACAACACAGAGGAAUUAUUCUGUAGGUUUGCUCAUUUCCCAGGGUUCUGUCCAGAUUGAACCAACUGGCACAGAAGCAUGAACCUGAGAAAGAGCUGUAUGAACAAGCUCAGGUGUUUAGCUAUUUUAGCUGCUUUCUGUUCUUCCCCUCGGGUCGCUUGAAAACGCAAAUAAAGGUGGCUAGCAUUUCAAAAUGCCAAAUAAGUGGAAAAUUACAUAAAGGUGUAUUCUCCAAAGUAGAGUGCAAGAAAAAACUAUUAAAAUUUCUUCUUAUAGAUAAUUGUAUUAUUUUCAUCUAAACAUUAAAAUAAAUCACGCUGGACCUACACAUGAGUAGAUAUCUGUGUUCUCAAUGGUGUGUGCCAUGAACAGGUGCUAAUCAUGUAGGGGACCCACGAGUCCUGCUAGAAGAUGACACUGUUUCAAACCCCACUGCAGUGAUGGAAUCUGAUACCCGGGUUUCAGCCCUGUCCUUCUCUUGGUGUCCAGAGUAGAAAGAGGGUCCCCGAGACUGAGCCACAUCCAGAAGGAGCCACAUACCCUCUUUACGCAAAAACGAAGAUUUCUGAACCUUUAAAAUCCGUCGCUCUGGGCUCAAGGUUGACAGGAUGAGAAGUGGGACCUACGAGGUUAGAAUACUUCAUUUAGUUAAACUAUGUCUGGAGUAAAAUGAAACCAACUGUGGAAGUCUCAGAAGUCAUUCAGCCCACAUAAGUCAAAUCGUUUUCUGAAGCCGUCGUAACAUGCUUCUAUUAUGAGCUCCUACCCCCCAAGGCCUAUUGCUAAGGGACGAUGCUGCAAGAAUAUGCUUUGUUUGUAUUAUAUCAAUAUUAACUAAAUGCAUGUUUAUUUUAGAUACUUUAAAGUUUUCACAUGAAUACCCUAUCAGUAGAAACAGUGUUUUGGAAAUGAAUAUCUCAAAAUAUAUAUUAUAUAUAUUUAAGUAUAUUAAUAUAAUACAUAAUUUAUGGCAUAUUUAUGACAUGCAUAAAUAUGUAUUUGUGUGUAGUAUAUAGAUAUGUAAGUUAUAAAUAUUAUAUAACUAUAAGUAUGUUGAUUUAAUUUUUUUACAUUUAAUACACAAUAUAUCAUUUAUGUAUAUGCCACUCUACCAAUAAAUUAUGCAAAGCAUAAAGAGAAUUUUUAAAGGUUGAGUAAAUAUUAUUCAAAUUUUACCUGUAUUCUGUUCAUCAAUGAUAAAUUCAUACCUUUUUCCCUUAUAUAUUUUUUUUGAGUAAUAUGCUGGGUUGCUAAUAUUCUGACUAUAUCAGUCAAGACCUAAGAAUUAAAAUAGAAAGCUAUUUAAGAUUUUUUAUAAGGGGAGUUCUGGUAUCAGGGCUGUUUAUGCGAGAAAUAGCAUAGCUAAGACACUGAUCAGUGGUCGAUAAAGCCGCAGUGACUAGCCUCUGCUACCUACUAGCUGCCUAAGAAUGCCUGUUAAUCAUCUAUUUAUGGGGGAUGAUAAUAUGUACCUUAUAGAAUUGUUACAUAAAUAAGUUAAUGUUUACAUAGCACUUAGAACACUCCCUGGCAAGAGUCAUUUAUUUAUAUGUGUCUAUUAAACUAAAAUAUGAAUACCAAUCACUCCCUUUUCUUGUUUUGCUAGUCUGUAUUUCUACUGUAGAAUUCAUGACAUUAAGGUGUAAGAUACACAUCUGUCAUUGUGAUAAAAUAGUUCUUGCUAGGUAAAGUCUGUGAUUAACCAUCUUUGUGUUCCCAAUGCAAAAAAAAAUAGAUGUCAAUAAAUGUUUAUUUAAUAAAUUUAUCAUUUUUGUCUAACACA